UGGGGAAUUUUGGACAAUGGGGGAAACCCUGAUCCAGCCAUCCCGCGUGUGCGAUGAAGGCCUUCGGGUUGUAAAGCACUUUUGGCAGGAAAGAAACGUCAUGGGUUAAUACCCCGUGAAACUGACGGUACCUGCAGAAUAAGCACCGGCUAACUACGUGCCAGCAGCCGCGGUAAUACGUAGGGUGCAAUCGUUAAUCGGAAUUACUGGGCGUAAAGCGUGCGCAGGCGGUUCGGAAAGAAAGAUGUGAAAUCCCAGGGCUCAACUUUGGAACUGCAUUUUUAACUACCGGGCUAGAGUGUGUCAGAGGGAGGUGAAAUUCCGCGUGUAGCAGUGAAAUGCGUAGAUAUGCGGAAGAACACCGAUGGCGAAGGCAGCCUCCUGAGAUAACACUGACGCUCAUGCACGAAAGCGUGGGGAGCAAACAGG
rnacentral:rRNA from 1 species